rnacentral:rRNA from 1 species
AGUGAACGCUGGCGGUAGGCCUAACACAUGCAAGUCGAACGGCAACACAGUAAGAGCUUGCUCUUACGGGUGGCGAGUGGCGGGCGGGUGAGGAAUACAUCGGAAUCUACUUUUUCGUGGGGGAUCACGUAGGGAAACUUACGCUAAUACCGCAUACGACCUACGGGUGAAAGCAGGGGCUCUUCGGCCCUUGCGCGAUUGAAUGAGCCGAUGUCGGAUUAGCUAGUUGGCGGGGUAAAGGCCCACCAAGGCGACGAUCCGUAGCUGGUCUGAGAGGAUGAUCAGCCACACUGGAACUGAGACACGGUCCAGACUCCUACGGGAGGCAGCAGUGGGGAAUAUUGGACAAUGGGCGCAAGCCUGAUCCAGCCAUACCGCGUGGGUGAAGAAGGCCUUCGGGUUGUAAAGCACUUUUGUUGGGAAAGAAAAGCAGCAGGUUAAUACCCCGCUGUUCUGACGGUACCCAAAGAAUAAGCACCGGCUAACUUCGUG